AUUGAACGCUGGCGGCAUGCCUUACACAUGCAAGUCGAACGGUAACAGGUCUUCGGAUGCUGACGAGUGGCGAACGGGUGAGUAAUACAUCGGAACGUGCCUAGUAGUGGGGGAUAACUACUCGAAAGAGUGGCUAAUACCGCAUGAGAUCUACGGAUGAAAGCAGGGGAUCGCAAGACCUUGUGCUACUAGAGCGGCCGAUGGCAGAUUAGGUAGUUGGUGGGAUAAAAGCUUAUCAAGCCGACGAUCUGUAGCUGGUCUGAGAGGACGAUCAGCCACACUGGGACUGAGACACGGCCCAGACUCCUACGGGAGGCAGCAGUGGGGAAUUUUGGACAAUGGGCGCAAGCCUGAUCCAGCAAUGCCGCGUGCAGGAUGAAGGCCUUCGGGUUGUAACUGCUUUUGUACGGAACGAAAAGCCCUGGGUUAAUACCCUGGGGUCAUGACGGUACCGUAAGAAUAAGCACCGGCUAACUACGUGCCAGCCGCCGCCGUAA
rnacentral:rRNA from 1 species